AAACUCAAUCAUAGUAUAAGAUGACGACAAUGAGAAGAUUUAAUUA
rnacentral:guide_RNA from 1 species